rnacentral:rRNA from 1 species
UACCAGCACCCCGAGUGGUCGGGACGUUUAUUGGGCCUAAAGCAUCCGUAGCCGGUUCUACAAGUCUUCCGUUAAAUCCACCCUGCUCAACAGAUGGGCUGCGGAAGAUACUAUGGAGCUAGGAGGCGGGAGAGGCAAGCGGUACUCGAUGGGUAGGGGUAAAAUCCGUUGAUCCAUUGAAGACCACCAGUGGCGAAGGCGGCUUGCCAGAACGCGCUCGACGGUGAGGG